AUUGAACUCUGGCGGCAGGCCUAAUACAUGCAAGUCGAACGAGUGGCGGACUGGUGAGUCAUGUCUGGGAAACUGCCCGAUGGAGGGGGCUAACUCCUGGAAACGGUAGCUAAUACCGCAUACCAUCGGAUGUGCCCAGAUGGGAUUAGCUUGUAGGUGGGGUAACGACUCACAUAGGCGACGAUCCCUAGCUGGUCUGAGAGGAUGACCAGCCAAACUGGAACUGAGACACGGGCCAUACUCCUACGGGAGGCAGCAGUGGGGAAUAUUGCACAAGGGGCGCAAGCCUGAUGCAGCCAUGCCGCGGGUAUGAAGAAGGCCUUCGGGUUGUAAAGUACUUUCAGCGAGGAGGCGUUACUAGCAGAAGAAGCACCGGCUAACUCCGUGCCAGCCGCCGCGGUAAUAC
rnacentral:rRNA from 1 species